rnacentral:misc_RNA from 1 species
AAGUCGUAACAAGGUUUCCGUAGGUGAACCUGCGGAAGGAUCAUUACCAAAUCCAAAUUUCCUUAACCCCAUGUGAACUAUUGUUGUUAGUCUUGUCUUUGGGAGAAAAAGAGAGAAAAUCUUUUGUAUUAUUAAAAAUUAGGAGAUCUAAAUAGAUUUUCUUGCUUUUAAUAAAACAAAAAAAUCUUUUCAAUUCUCUUUUUCUCCCAAAGGAAUCCGGCAUCAUAUUUUUAUGAUGCUUUCUGUGAUUCCUUGAAACAACCCUUUUUCUAAACCACUUUUUAAUUUUAUUUGUUUGGAACUUUUUAUUAUUAAAACUAAUAAUAAUGAAACAACUUUUAACGGUGGAUCUCUUGGCUCGUG